CGCGGCCUAUCAGCUUGUUGGUGGGGUGAUGGCCUACCAAGGCGACGACGGGUAGCCGGCCUGAGAGGGCGACCGGCCACACUGGGACUGAGACACGGCCCAGACUCCUACGGGAGGCAGCAGUGGGGAAUCUUGCGCAAUGGGCGAAAGCCUGACGCAGCGACGCCGCGUGAGGGAUGACGGCCUUCGGGUUGUAAACCUCUUUCAGCCCUGACGAAGCGAAAGUGACGGUAGGGGCAGAAGAAGCACCGGCCAACUACGUGCCAGCAGCCGCGGUAAUACGUAGGGUGCAAGCGUUGUCCGGAAUUAUUGGGCGUAAAGAGCUCGUAGGUGGCCUGUCGCGUCGGCUGUGAAAACUCGGGGCUCAACUCCGAGCUUGCAGUCGAUACGGGCAGGCUAGAGUGCGGCAGGGGAGACUGGAAUUCCUGGUGUAGCGGUGAAAUGCGCAGAUAUCAGGAGGAACACCGGUGGCGAAGGCGGGUCUCUGGGCCGAUACUGACACUGAGGAGCGAAAGCGUGGGGAGCGAACAGGAUUAGACACCCUGGUAGUCCACGCCGUAAACGGUGGGAACUAGGUGUUGGCGACAUUCCACGUCGUCGGUACCGCAGCUAACGCAUUAAGUUCCCCGCCUGGGGAGUACGG
rnacentral:rRNA from 1 species